AAUUGGUUCGCUCCACCAUGCGAUCAAAAAGGGAAGCCGGUGGAAAUCCGGAGCUGUCCCGCAGCUGUAAGUUGCUUAUUUAUGCCAAGCGACACUGCCGGGAACGUAAGUCUGACAACAAGACAGACCGAAGUUCAAUCUUACCGGCGGGAAGUCACUUUGCCUUCAACGACGCAACAAGCCAGAAUACCUGCCAUUGCCA
rnacentral:ncRNA from 1 species